GAAAGAUAACAGUUGCAUCAUACAAUGUUGUAGCACAAAACUGGCCUACUUGAUCGUAAAAUCGAACCACCAUGGAGCAUGGGAACCCGCACGGCUUGCUUUGAUUUGAUCGAAGUAGGUAUACACAAAAAUGUGGUAAAAUCCGAACCCGCAUCAUGGACGAAUCCAAACGAAGGGACGGAAAAACUUCCGGUAGGGCAAACAAAUAAACAUGCAAAUGUUUGGUCCCGCACCGAAUGCGUAGGUACAUUUUGAUUAGAUUUCCCUUUUUUCUUCCCUUAAGUUCGUUGUUAUUGUUGUUGCAGUUACCCAUCAGAUAUCGUAAGACCAGCUCACAAACAAAUGGGACAUGGUGGUCCUUCAUACCUCCAUCGAAUACCUACUUAUCGUUUUUGUAUGAACGUACAAAUUUGGGUUAGUAGGGAAGACAUAGAAGGAAAAGGGCCGCCUAACGUAAAUCCCUUCAUAUUUUGGAAACGGUUCGGCUUACUUUGUUUUGUUUUGCCUGAACCCGCAAGGGUAGGAGGUACGGUCGGAUAUAAUUCAAUAUCAGAAAACAAGCAACUACGAGACGACAAAAAUAAACAACAGGCAACAGGAGGUGAAGCAAUAUUCAUAAUAUCGUCGCGUCGGCCCACUCAACAAAACUGCGAUAUGGAAGGGAAGCACG